GCUGGGCACUGUGGUGCAUGCCUGUAAUCCCAGAUGCUUAGGAGGCUGAGGCAGGAGGAUGGAUCAUGAGUUAAAAAGCCAGUCUCAGCAACUGUGAGAUGAUAAGCAACUCAGUGAGACCCUGUCUCUA
rnacentral:sRNA from 1 species